CCCGUUGACCUUAAAAAUGACCUUGUCUUGCAAAGCAAGCACACGAAUUUUCAAGUACAGCUCUUUCUUGCUGAAGAAUAUUUGUCGUUCAACCAGAUCGGAUGUAGUCACACUUGUAAUUCAUUGGUAUGUAUCCAAACUCUGGGAAUGUGAUGACAUUCCUCCGUCAAUGUCUACAAUAUUGCACCAUUUGUACCAUGUAACGGGUCAUCCAACAUCUCAUCUCAUCUCAUGGUACAAUCUCAACAUAUUCAAUUGGACUAUUGGCUACAUUAUUGUUUGGGGUACUAGGCUCAUGAUGGAUGUCAUCAUGUUGUACAAUAUGGGGAACAUCCGCUGCUCCGAACGAAGGGUCGUGCAAAUUUGUAUCCCUCCCCAUGUCAACACUCGACAGAUCAGUUUCCAAAAUAGUAAUGCAGAGGGCAGUUUCCGUAUGAACAGAUUUGUACCAAAUUAGGUCUUCAUCUUCACGUAUUUCGACCGGUGGUAAAUUGAAAUUCAGGACUCUAAACUUCAAUUCAAUUUUGAUAAGCGGAUUAAUAACACCAAGUUUGUCAUUCAACAAUAACACCAGUCCGGCUAGGGUAAUACGUCUCGACACUAAAAUAGAAGUGGUUUCGUCCCCUGACCACUUUCAUUCGCCAUCCACG
rnacentral:lncRNA from 1 species